rnacentral:rRNA from 1 species
AUUGAACGCUGGCGGCAUGCUUUACACAUGCAAGUCGGACGAGUGGGGAACGGGUGAGUAACAUAUCGGAACGUACCGAGUAAUGGGGGAUAACUAAUCGACAGAUUAGCUAAUACCGCACAUUAUUCGAGCGGCCGAUCUCUGAUUAGCUGGUUGGGGGGGUAAAGGCCUACCAAGGCGACGAUCCGUAGAGGGUUUGAGAGGAGGAUCAGCCACACUGGUACUGAGACACGGCCCAGACUCCUACGGGAGGCAGCAGUGGGGAAUUUUGGACAAUGGGCGCAAUCCUGAUCCAGCCAUGCCGCGUGUCUGAAGAAGGCCUUCGGGUUGUAAAGGACUUUUGUCAGGGAAGCGGUACCUGAAGAAUAAGCACCGGCUAACUACGUGCCAGCAGCCGCGGUAAUUC